rnacentral:rRNA from 1 species
GAUGAACGCUGGCGGCGUGCCUAAUACAUGCAAGUCGAGCGAACGGACGAGAAUCUUUCUUUUCUGAUGUUAGCGGCGGACGGGUGAGUAACACGUGGAUAACCUACCUAUAUGACUUGGAUAACUUCGGGAAACCGGAGCUCAUACCGCAUAAUAUUUUGAACCGCAUUGUUCAAGAGUGAAAGACGUUCUUGCUGUUACUUAUAGAUGGUUCCGCGCUGCAUUAGCUAGUUGGUAAGGUAACGGCUUACCAAGGCAACGAUGCAUAGCCGACCUGAGAGGGUGGUAGGCGACCCUAGAACUGAGACACGGACCAGACUACUACGGGAGGCAGCAGUAGGCAAUCUUCCGCAAUGGGCGAAAGCCUGACGGAGCAACGCCGCGUGAGAGAUAAAGGUGUUCGGAUCGUAAAACCCUGUUAUUAGGGAAGAACAUAUGUGUAAGUAAAUGUGCACAUCUUGACGGUACCUACACAGAAAGCCACGGCUAACCACGUG